UACGUAGGGGGCUAGCGUUGUCCGGAAUCAUUAGGCGUAAAGCGCGCGUAGGCGGUCCGGUAAGUCCGCUGUGAAAGUCGGGGGCUCAACCCUCGGAUGCCGGUGGAUACUGUCGGGCUUGAGUACGGAAGAGGCGAGUGGAAUUCCUGGUGUAGCGGUGAAAUGCGCAGAUAUCAGGAGGAACACCAAUUGCGAAGGCAGCUCGCUGGGACGUUACUGACGCUGAGACGCGAAAGCGUGGGGAGCAAACAGG
rnacentral:rRNA from 1 species